AACCAAGCAAUAUUUAACAUCAUGCAUUGCACUGCGAACAAACGCAUGGAGGUCGCGGAGAGGGCGCCGAUCUCCACCAUUUCAAGUUCCAACUUCGCGAAACUUCUUCACCUGCUGAGUAAGGAGCAUCAGACGGUGAGAGCUGCCAGCAUUGUGUUAAAGCCUGAUAGGGAAGGAAACCACUUAAUGUGUUAAUCAUCAACCCGCUGCAAAGACGAGCAAAAUAUUUGUGGUAAGUUUAGUGUGUGUUGGAAAAAGCCAAAAGACGACCAUUGGUCUUCAAGCACCUGAAUAAA